rnacentral:rRNA from 1 species
AACACAUGCAAGUCGAGCGGUAACAGAAAGUAGCUUGCUACUUUGCUGACGAGCGGCGGACGGGUGAGUAAUGCUUGGGAACAUGCCUUGAGGUGGGGGACAACAGUUGGAAACGACUGCUAAUACCGCAUAAUGUCUACGGACCAAAGGGGGCUUCGGCUCUCGCCUUUAGAUUGGCCCAAGUGGGAUUAGCUAGUUGGUGAGGUAAUGGCUCACCAAGGCAACGAUCCCUAGCUGGUUUGAGAGGAUGAUCAGCCACACUGGAACUGAGACACGGUCCAGACUCCUACGGGAGGCAGCAGUGGGGAAUAUUGCACAAUGGGCGAAAGCCUGAUGCAGCCAUGCCGCGUGUGUGAAGAAGGCCUUCGGGUUGUAAAGCACUUUCAGUCAGGAGGAAAGGGUGUGAGUUAAUACCUCAUAUCUGUGACGUUACUGACAGAAGAAGCACCGGCUAACUCCGUGCCAGCAGCCGCGGUAAUACGGAGGGUGCGAGCGUUAAUCGGAAUUACUGGGCGUAAAGCGUACGCAGGCGGUUUGUUAAGCGAGAUGUGAAAGCCCCGGGCUCAACCUGGGAACUGCAUUUCGAACUGGCAAACUAGAGUGUGAUAGAGGGUGGUAGAAUUUCAGGUGUAGCGGUGAAAUGCGUAGAGAUCUGAAGGAAUACCGAUGGCGAAGGCAGCCACCUGGGUCAACACUGACGCUCAUGUACGAAAGCGUGGGGAGCAAACGGGAUUAGAUACCCCGGUAGUCCACGCCGUAA